rnacentral:rRNA from 1 species
CCUACGGGGGGCUGCAGUCAAGAACCUUCCACAAUGGACGAAAGUCUGAUGGAGCGACGCCGCGUGAUGGAUGAAGUCCCUAGGGACGUAAACAUCUUUUAUGAGGGAGAAAGUAAUUGAUAGUACCUCAUGAAUAAGGGGUUGCUAAACUCGUGCCAGCAGCAGCGGUAAUACGAGUGCCCCAAGCGUUAUCCGGAAUCAUUGGGCGUAAAGGGUGUGUAGGCGGUUUGGUUAGUCUUCUGUCAAAGCCUCGGGCUUAACCCGAGAUCUGCAGAGGAAACGGCCAGGCUAGAGGAUGCGAGAGGUGAAUGGAACUCAUGGAGUAGGGGUGAAAUCCGUUGAUAUCAUGGGGAACACCAAAAGCGAAGGCAAUUCACUGGCGCAUUCCUGACGCUGAAACACGAAAGCGUGGGUAGCGAACGGGAUUAGAUACCCUGGUA